UACGUAGGUGGCAAGCGUUGUCCGGAAUCAUUGGGCGUAAAGAGCGUGUAGGCGGCCUUACAGGUCAGCUGUGAAAACUCGAGGCUCAACCUCGAGACGUCGGUUGAAACCGUAAGGCUAGAGUCCGGAAGAGGAGAGUGGAAUUCCCGGUGUAGCGGUGAAAUGCGCAGAGUAUCGGGAAGAACACCCGUGGCGAAGGCGGCUCUCUGGGACGGUACUGGACGCUGAGACGCGAAAGCGUGGGGAGCGAACAGG
rnacentral:rRNA from 1 species